GACGAACGCUGGCGGCGUGCUUAACACAUGCAAGUCGAACGGAAAGGCCCUGCUUUUGUGGGGUGCUCGAGUGGCGAACGGGUGAGUAACACGUGAGUAACCUGCCCUUGACUUUGGGAUAACUUCAGGAAACUGGGGCUAAUACCGGAUAGGAGCUCCUGCUGCAUGGUGGGGGUUGGAAAGUUUCGGCGGUUGGGGAUGGACGCGCGGCUGAUGAGCUUGUUGGUGGGGUAGGGGCUUACCAAGGCUUUGACGGGUAGCCGGCCUGAGAGGGUGACCGGCCACAUUGGGACUGCGAUACGGCCCAGACUGCUACGGGAGGCAGCAGUGGGGAAUAUUGCACAAUGGGCGGAAGCCUGAUGCAGCAACGCCGCGUGCGGGAUGACGGCCUUCGGGUUGUAAACCGCUUUCGCCUGUGACGAAGCGUGAGUGACGGUAAUGGGUAAAGAAGCACCGGCUAACUACGUG
rnacentral:rRNA from 1 species